UACGUAGGGCGCAAGCGUUAUCCGGAAUUAUUGGGCGUAAAGAGCUCGUAGGUGGUUUGUCGCGUCUGCCGUGAAAGUCCGGGGCUCAACUCCGGAUCUGCGGUGGGUACGGGCAGACUAGAGUGAUGUAGGGGAGACUGGAAUUCCUGGUGUAGCGGUGAAAUGCGCAGAUAUCAGGAGGAACACCGAUGGCGAAGGCAGGUCUCUGGGCAUUAACUGACGCUGAGGAGCGAAAGCGUGGGGAGCAAACAGG
rnacentral:rRNA from 1 species